AGCCUGAUGCAGCCAUGCCGCGUGUGUGAAGAAGGCCUUCGGGUUGUAAAGCACUUUCAGUUGUGAGGAAAGGUUAGUAGUUAAUACCUGCUAGCUGUGACGUUAGCAACAGAAGAAGCACCGGCUAACUCCGUGCCAGCAGCCGCGGUAAUACGGAGGGUGCGAGCGUUAAUCGGAAUUACUGGGCGUAAAGCGUACGCAGGCGGUUUGUUAAGCGAGAUGUGAAAGCCCCGGGCUCAACCUGGGAACUGCAUUUCGAACUGGCAAACUAGAGUGUGAUAGAGGGUGGUAGAAUUUCAGGUGUAGCGGUGAAAUGCGUAGAGAUCUGAAGGAAUACCGAUGGCGAAGGCAGCCACCUGGGUCAACACUGACGCUCAUGUACGAAAGCGUGGGGAGCAAACGGGAUUAGAUACCCCGGUAGUCCACGCCGUAAACGAUGUCUACUAGGAGUUCGGUUUUUCGGAACUGUCUUCCAAAGCUAACGCAUUAAGUAGACCGCCUGGGGAGUACGGCCGCAAGGUUAAAACUCA
rnacentral:rRNA from 1 species